AGAGUUUGAUCCUGGCUCAGGACGAACGCUGGCGGCGUGCUUAACACAUGCAAGUCGAACGGAAAGGCCCUGCUUUUGUGGGGUGCUCGAGUGGCGAACGGGUGAGUAACACGUGAGUAACCUGCCCUUGACUUUGGGAUAACUUCAGGAAACUGGGGCUAAUACCGGAUAGGAGCUCCUGCUGCAUGGUGGGGGUUGGAAAGUUUCGGCGGUUGGGGAUGGACUCGCGGCUUAUCAGCUUGUUGGUGGGGUAGUGGCUUACCAAGGCUUUGACGGGUAGCCGGCCUGAGAGGGUGACCGGCCACAUUGGGACUGAGAUACGGCCCAGACUCCUACGGGAGGCAGCAGUGGGGAAUAUUGCACAAUGGGCGGAAGCCUGAUGCAGCAACGCCGCGUGCGGGAUGACGGCCUUCGGGUUGUAAACCGCUUUCGCCUGUGACGAAGCGUGAGUGACGGUAAUGGGUAAAGAAGCACCGGCUAACUACGUGCCAGCAGCCGCGGUGAUACGUAGGGUGCGAGCGUUGUCCGGAUUUAUUGGGCGUAAAGGGCUCGUAGGUGGUUGAUCGCGUCGGAAGUGUAAUCUUGGGGCUUAACCCUGAGCGUGCUUUCGAUACGGGUUGACUUGAGGAAGGUAGGGGAGAAUGGAAUUCCUGGUGGAGCGGUGGAAUGCGCAGAUAUCAGGAGGAACACCAGUGGCGAAGGCGGUUCUCUGGGCCUUUCCUGACGCUGAGGAGCGAAAGCGUGGGGAGCGAACAGGCUUAGAUACCCUGGUAGUCCACGCUGUAAACGGUGGGCACUAGGUGUGGGGUCCAUUCCACGGGUUCCGUGCCGUAGCUAACGCUUUAAGUACCCCGCCUGGGGAGUACGGCCGCAAGGCUAAAACUCAAAGGAAUUGACGGGGCCCCGCACAAGCGGCGGAGCAUGCGGAUUAAUUCGAUGCAACGCGUAGAACCUUACCUGGGUUUGACAUGGAUCGGGAGUGCUCAGAGAUGGGUGUGCCUCUUUUGGGGUCGGUUCACAGGUGGUGCAUGGCUGUCGUCAGCUCGUGUCGUGAGAUGUUGGGUUAAGUCCCGCAACGAGCGCAACCCUUGUUCACUGUUGCCAGCACGUUAUGGUGGGGACUCAGUGGAGACCGCCGGGGUCAACUCGGAGGAAGGUGGGGAUGACGUCAAGUCAUCAUGCCCCUUAUGUCCAGGGCUUCACGCAUGCUACAAUGGCUGGUACAGAGAGUGGCGAGCCUGUGAGGGUGAGCGAAUCUCGGAAAGCCGGUCUCAGUUCGGAUUGGGGUCUGCAACUCGACCUCAUGAAGUCGGAGUCGCUAGUAAUCGCAGAUCAGCAACGCUGCGGUGAAUACGUUCCCGGGGCUUGUACACACCGCCCGUCAAGUCAUGAAAGUUGGUAACACCCGAAGCCGGUGGCCUAACCGUUGUGGGGGAGCCGUCGAAGGUGGGACUGGUGAUUAGGACUAAGUCGUAACAAGGUAACCGUA
rnacentral:rRNA from 1 species